CAUCAUUGCUAUAUUCCGUUGCAAGCCAACUGGCUCAUAUAGGUGGAUAUUUAAUUUGAUCCAUGGUACUGCUAUUGGUUUCUUGGCUGAGAUACUAGCCUUGGUUAAUGUUGGUUUGGGUAUUGCUUUAUUUGAGUCUGGUUGUGGUGGUACAAACUCUUUCACUCUCCUCUGGGUCUACAUUGUGUUUGUUAUAUUGCUGGUCAUUAUAUGACCAUUGUAUUU